GCUUACACAUGAGAGGAAAGACAGAUGAGCAAAGAUAUGAGUUCAGUCCGAUAUGAUGUGAUGCCGAAAUGGAGACAAAUCACCAACGGGCAAAAACUAGUCGAGUAAAUGCCUGCAUUCACAUGUGCAGAUGGCUGGGGCGUGGCUUAUCGCACGUGGAACAUCGGCCAGCAAGCGUGAGAAUUGCUGCGGAGCCCUGGCCGGUUUGGCUCAGCGAGUAGAGCACUGGCCCUUGGUCAGAAGGGCUGUUGGUUCAA